CAGCCGCCGCGGUAAUACGAAGGGGGCUAGCGUUGCUCGGAAUGACUGGGCGUAAAGCGUGCGCAGGCGGUUUGGUAAGACAGAUGUGAAAUCCCCGGGCUUAACCUGGGAACUGCAUUUGUGACUGGCAAGCUAGAGUAUGGCAGAGGGGGGUGGAAUUCCGCGUGUAGCAGUGAAAUGCGUAGAUAUGCGGAGGAACACCGAUGGCGAAGGCAGCCCCCUGGGCCAAUACUGACGCUCAUGCACGAAAGCGUGGGGAGCAAACAGGAUUAGAUACCCCAGUAGUCCCUGUCUCUUAUAC
rnacentral:rRNA from 1 species